GGGCGGCUUUGGGUUGAGAUGAGCUCAGUGCUGAGUGUCUGUUAGCAUUGUUGUUACAUCCUUUGUCGAACAAUAUAACCUUAACUGAUAAUUGAUCCUCCCCCCCUGUUUUUUUUUUUUUUUACAUCUAAUGACUGUUCAUUUGUUUAAACCAUGACCUUGCAAAUUUUAAAAGUGCAGAUUAGCUACGUAGGUCAGCAAGGAUGAAUUUCUAACUUUGUUCUUUUUUUUCUUUUCUUCAGAUGACCUUUUUUUUUAACUCCCAAGCUUUUUCCCUCCAAGUGGCUGUGCAGUUCUGUCCUGCUGACUGCUAACAUAGCUUCAUCUCUUCAAAAGACAAGACAACAGGUAUCUUCCACCAAGAUGUCUGUUGAACUGGAAAUGACCUUACCCACUACACCAAGGGUAAUCAUGCUUGGAAAUAGCUUGAUGUCUACAACCCGGUGGAUGGUCAGUAUGGAGGAGAAGGUAUUUUUCGAGCCUGAGCAACUACAUGACUUUGCCAGCGUCCUUGCUGUCUUUUUUGGGUCAUAUUAUGUCUUCAAUCUGGAGUAUCAGGAGUCGGCAUCCACCACGCUGGAGAUGAUACAACGGCA